ACUAGGGAUCGGGCGAUGUUAUCUUUUUGACUCGCUCGGCACCUUACGAGAAAUCAAAGUUUUGGGUUCUGGGGGGAGUAUGGUCGCAAGGCUGAAACUUAAAGAAAUUGACGGAAGGGCACCACCAGGAGUGGAGCCUGCGGCUUAAUUUGACUCAACACGGGGAAACUCACCAGGUCCAGACACAAUAAGGAUUGACAGAUUGAGAGCUCAUUCUUGAUNUAGUGG
rnacentral:rRNA from 1 species